rnacentral:lncRNA from 10 species
GCCUAAAUGACUGCCAGUAUAUUUUGGCAGCCAUGCUCAACAGACCUGCUCACAGGCCAACGUAUUCAAAAGCUCCAGGAAAAAAAAAAAAAAAAAGCCAUUUUCCUCUCUCCACCACAUACCACACUUCUGGGAUUCUGAAAUAUCUUACCAAGCACUUUAUUCAAUCUAAAUUUAAAUAGAAGUUUUCCCCACUUCCCAAGAGAGAAACAACAACGAACUAGAUGAGAAUGAGAGGAACUGGAAGAAGGGUCAGAUGAAAGUGAGAUCCAUACAUCCUUCUUCAGCAACUUGUGCCUCUGCUCUGCACCUCCCGCAAUUAACUACUGAAAAAAGAACACAGCUUCACAAAAGAGAUUGUAAAAUCAGGAAGUAUAUCUAAGUCACCUCCAGUAGCCGUAACUCUACCUUGUCCAGUAAAAGGGACAGGACCUCUAUAUGUUGCUCAGGCUGGAGUGUGGCAGCUAUUCACGGAUGUGAUUAUAGUACACUACAGCCUCAACUCCUGGGCUCAAGCAAAGCUUCCCAAAUCGGUGGGACUAUAGGCACACGCCACUGUGCUGUUCAAUAAUAAGAUUUCUGUCUAACACCACUGCGCCUGUUUCCUUGAUAAAUAUUUAUUAUCUGUGUUUAUUUAUUUUAUCCUGGGAGAACAUACAAGAUUUCGGGGUCAGAGAACAGACUGAUUGUUUUAUGUACAGCAAUAACAGCACUGGCUCCCCACUCCCUAUUUCUCCUUUGAAGCCGUGCUGUGAAGGUAGAUGUCAGCCUGCACAUGCAAAGGGGUCGCUGCAUAAGACGAAUCCUGAAAUUGUGUAACUGGGAGUUUAUAUGAAGUGCCUCUCAGCAGCCCCGCCAACCCUCCUCCCUCUAGAGAGGGGAAGAGAAGUCAUCACUGUCUAAUGUGAAGGAAUUCUCUCUGGGAAGGGAGGAGACGGUCCCUAAAUUGUUACAACCCUUUGAAAUGUAAAGGAAGCCUCUGGAUUGUUUCUCAUUCUUUUAAAUGUAAAUAAAUGGCAAAUGGCUCUCAAGGCGAUCAAUUUUUAACUCUAUCUGGA